AUAUAGAUGAGUUUGGUGAUGGCUCUGAAUGAAUGCUGUCCAAAUGCUUGACACAUGCUAAUCGUACGAUUAAUAUAAUGAAUAAUUUAAUUAAUAAGUGGUGUACAGGUGAGUAUAUGAUAUUUUCACUACCUUAAAGUGAGGGAUAAAAUACCACAUAAUAAUAAAGGCAAAAGCCGCUUUAGGAAGAAGAUUAAUAUCGUCGAGAGAGGUAGUAGUAAAGGUGAUGUCUUCACUAGCUUUAAAAUCUCGUAACCGUAACUGAAAGGUUGAUCGGUCACAUUGGGUCUGAAAAAAGCCCAAUGCAAAAUUAGUACAGCAGUGGGGAAUUUUGGUCAAUGGCCUAACGGCUGAACUGGCAAUUUGGGGAAACGAAACAGAAUUGUUAUCUACAGAAAUAAAGUUUUAAGUACGUAUUAAUAAUGAUAAUAUGUAUACUAGUCUUGACCAAUUACGUGCCAGCAGUCGCGGUAAUACGUAAGAGACGAGCAUUAUUCAUAUUAAAUAGGUUUAAAGGGUACCCAGACGGUCAAAAUACCUUAACUAAAAGGAGUAUUUGACUAGAGUUUUAUGUGAGAAGACCGUACUUGAGGUGGAGAGAUUAUAUUCUGUGAUACCAAGGGGACUGAUAAAGGCGAAAGCUGUCUUUUAUGUAAUAACUGACGUUGGAGGACGAAGGCAUAGAACACGAACAGGAUUUGACACCCUAGUAGUCUUUGCAGACAAUGAUGAAUGCCAUGGGCUAGUAGCGAAUCCAGCUCAGGAAUACUCAACAUUCGUUACGAAUGUUGAAAGAGUCCCACUAUAGGUACUACUAUAGGAGAGUGGAGUUUUCGCAAAAUUAGUCUAUAAAUGAAAAUGAAAGCAUUUCACCUCAAGAGUAAUGUGGCAACGCAGGAACUGAAAUCACUAGACCGUUUCUGACACCAGUAGUGAAGUAUGUUAUUUAAUUCGAUGAUCCACGAAAAACCUUACCACAACUUGAAUAUUUAGCAAUAGAUACAGGAGUUGCACGGCUGUUUUCAGUUAAUGUUGUGAAACUGUGGUUCUUCCAUGGAAUUAACGGAAUCCUUUGCUUUAUUUAUAGAAAGUUUUAUAAAGCAAUCUUUCUUUAUAGCGGAAAAGAUAAAAAGGAAAAAGACAAGUCAUCAUGGCCCUUAUGUUGUGGGCUAUAGACGUGCCACGUAGUCCUUAACAAAGAGAUGCGAAAAUGCGAAUUUUAGCUAAUCUCAAAAAAGAGGAUAUAAAUUAUACAAGGAUUGUAGUCUGAAAUUCGACUAUAUGAAUAAGUAAUUACUAGUAAUCGUGAAUCACCAUGUCACGGUGAAUUUAAUCUCGGAUUGGUACUAACCACUCGUCGCAUGCUGAAAGGAGCUUACGCAAUAAGUUUGCUAUUUUGUUAUAAUCUCUUUUAUAAAUUGGAUUAAAAUAUUAUAAUGGAAUUCUUCGUAUGCGUGACUCUGAUUAGUGUUAAGUCGAAAUAUGGUUCGUGUAGUGGAAGUUGCACGGGGUUUAUACACCUA
rnacentral:rRNA from 1 species